rnacentral:rRNA from 1 species
UACGAAGGGGGCUAGCGUUGUUCGGAAUUACUGGGCGUAAAGCGCACGCAGGCGGUGCGAUCAGUCAGAAGUGAAAGCCCCGGGCUCAACCUGGGAACUGCUUUUGAUACUGUCGCGCUUGAAUCACGGAGAGGGUAGUGGAAUUCCGAGUGUAGAGGUGAAAUUCGUAGAUAUUCGGAAGAACACCAGUGGCGAAGGCGACUACCUGGCCGUCGAUUGACGCUCAUGUGCGAAAGCGUGGGGAGCAAACAGG